ensembl:snoRNA
AUCCUUUUCUGGUUCAUAAGCAGGAUGACUUGGUGUUCACACAUUUGUGUGACAUAUGCCUCCCUUUAAUCUUGUUAUACACUUGGCAUGUUACCCAUCUGAAG